rnacentral:rRNA from 1 species
UACGGAGGGGGCUAGCGUUGUUCGGAAUUACUGGGCGUAAAGCGCACGUAGGCGGCUUUGCAAGUUAGAGGUGAAAGCCCGGGGCUCAACUCCAGAACUGCCUUUGAUACUGGAAGCUUGAGUUCGGGAGAGGUGAGUGGAACUGCGAGUGUAGAGGUGAAAUUCGUAGAUAUUCGCAAGAACACCAGUGGCGAAGGCGGCUCACUGGCCCGAUACUGACGCUGAGGUGCGAAAGCGUGGGGAGCAAACAGG